CCCUUAGAGUUUGAUCCUGACUCAGGAUGAACGCUAGCUACAGGCUUAACACAUGCAAGUCGAGGGGCAUCAGGAAGAAAGCUUGCUUUCUUUGCUGGCGACCGGCGCACGGGUGAGUAACACGUAUCCAACCUGCCCUUUACUCGGGGAUAGCCUUUCGAAAGAAAGAUUAAUACCCGAUAGCAUAAUGAUUCCGCAUGGUUUCAUUAUUAAAGGAUUCCGGUAAAGGAUGGGGAUGCGUUCCAUUAGGUUGUUGGUGAGGUAACGGCCCACCAAGCCUUCGAUGGAUAGGGGUUCUGAGAGGAAGGUCCCCCACAUUGGAACUGAGACACGGUCCAAACUCCUACGGGAGGCAGCAGUGAGGAAUAUUGGUCAAUGGGCGUUAGCCUGAACCAGCCAAGUAGCGUGAAGGAUGAAGGCUCUAUGGGUCGUAAACUUCUUUUAUAUAAGAAUAAAGUGCAGUAUGUAUACUGUUUUGUAUGUAUUAUAUGAAUAAGGAUCGGCUAACUCCGUGCCAGCAGCCGCGGUAAUACGGAGGAUCCGAGCGUUAUCCGGAUUUAUUGGGUUUAAAGGGAGCGUAGGUGGACUGGUAAGUCAGUUGUGAAAGUUUGCGGCUCAACCGUAAAAUUGCAGUUGAUACUGUCAGUCUUGAGUACAGUAGAGGUGGGCGGAAUUCGUGGUGUAGCGGUGAAAUGCUUAGAUAUCACGAAGAACUCCGAUUGCGAAGGCAGCUCACUGGACUGCAACUGACACUGAUGCUCGAAAGUGUGGGUAUCAAGCAGG
rnacentral:rRNA from 1 species